CCUACGGGAGGCAGCAGUGGGGAAUAUUGGGCAAUGGGCGCAAGCCUGAUCCAGCAACGCCGCGUGAAUGAAGAAGGCUUUCGGGUUGUAAACUUCUUUUCUCAGGGACGAAGCAAGUGACGGUACCUGAGGAAUAAGCCACGGCUAACUACGUCCCAGCAGCCGCGGUCAUACGUAGGUGGCAAGCGUUAUCCGGAUUUACUGGGUGUAAAGGGCGUGUAGGCGGGGACGCAAGUCAGAUGUGAAAACCACGGGCUCAACCUGUGGACUGCAUUUGAAACUGUGUUUCUUGAGUACUGGAGAGGCAGACGGAAUUCCUGGUGUAGCGGUGAAAUGCGUAGAUAUUAGGAGGAACACCAGUGGCGAAGGCGGUCUGCUGGACAGCAACUGACGCUGAGGCGCGAAAGCGUGGGGAGCAAACAGGAUUAGAUACCCUUGUAGUC
rnacentral:rRNA from 1 species